CAUAAUAAAAGAGUAGCUCUCAUAAUCAGAAGACAGCAAGGCAGUUCAAAUAUCUCAGCUUCAGCCCAGUCACUACCCUUCAUCACAAAUCGCUCAGAACAAUUUUCCAACUCAUUGACAACGUUCUCCAGUUUCUGCUGAGUGAUUUUGCAAUUUGCUUCCAUCAUCCGUGCUGGGUUCCUCCGAACAAUGAGCCUGCGGAACUAGGAAUCAGGUGUCAUUUUGUGCAAGAAGUCACAACCUGGUGUGGAUGUGAGCCAGAUGACUCUUAACCCCAUGAACUGGCCACAGCUGUGCUUGUCAAGUCCAAGUUCAGUCACUAUGUGGACCAUGGAAAGAAGUAACCAGGAGCAUUCUCUCAAAGCAAAGUGAGAGACUUCAUAACA